rnacentral:misc_RNA from 1 species
GAUGAAGAACGUAGCGAAAUGCGAUAAGUAAUGUGAAUUGCAGAAUUCAGUGAAUCAUCGAAUCUUUGAACGCAUCUUGCGCUCCUUGGUAUUCUGAGGAGCAUGCCUGUUUGAGUGUCAUUAAAUUCUCAACUACACUGACUUUGAAUUGGUGUGGCUUGGAUUUGGGGGGAAAAUUGUUGUGGGCUUUUUGUAUAGUCUGCUCCCCUGAAAUUGAUUAGCGGUACCUUUGUGGAACUGUCUACAGGUGUGAUAAUUAUCUACAUCUUAGACAUCUGCUGGAAUGCUGCUUUCUAAACCUUACUUGUAUUGACAAUCUUGACCUCAAAUCAGGUAGGACUACCCGCUGAACUUAAGCAUAUCAAAAGCGGAGGA